rnacentral:tRNA from 1 species
UGGGUUGUGGCUCAGUGAUAGAGUGCUCACCUAGCACGUGUGAGGCCCUGGGUUUAAUCCUAAGCACUACAU